rnacentral:tRNA from 1 species
UCCGGCGUAGCGCAACGGUAGCGCGGCUGGCUGUUAACCAGUAGGUUGUAGGUUCGAAUCCUACCGCCGGAGCCA